UCCCCUAGUAACUGCGAGUGAAGCGGGAAAAGCUCAAAUUUAAAAUCUGGCGGUCUUUGUCCGUCCGAGUUGUAAUUUAGAGAAGCGUCUUCCGCGCCGGACCGUGCACAAGUCUCCUGGAAUGGAGCGUCAUAGAGGGUGAGAAUCCCGUCUUUGGCAUGGAGCCCCCGGGGCUUCUGUGAUGCGCUCUCAAAGAGUCGAGUUGUUUGGGAAUGCAGCUCAAAAUGGGUGGUGAACUCCAUCUAAAGCUAAAUAUUGGCGAGAGACCGAUAGCGAACAAGUACCGUGAGGGAAAGAUGAAAAGCACUUUGGAAAGAGAGUGAAACAGUACGUGAAAUUGUUGAAAGGGAAACGCUUGGAGUCAGUCGCGUCGACCGAGACUCAGCCUCGCCUCGGCUUGGUGUACUUCUCGGCUUGACGGGCCAGCAUCAAUUUCAUCCUUUGGAUAAUGACGAGGGAAAGGUAGCACCCUUAUGGGUGUGUUAUAGUCUCUUGUCGCAUGCAAGGGGUGGGAUUGAGGAACUCAGCACGCGCCUUCUAGGUGUCGGGGCUUUUUGGCCCACGUUUUACGUGCUUAGGAUGCUGGCGUAAUGGCUUCAAACGACCCGUCUUGAAACACGGACCAAGGAGUCUAACAUGCCUGCAAGUGUUCGGGUGGAAAACCCGUGUGCGAAAUGAAAGUAAAAGUUGGGACCUCUGUCGUGGAGGGCACCGACGCCUGGACCAGACCUUCUGUGACGGAUCUACGGUAGAGCAUGCAUGUUGGGACCCGAAAGAUGGUGAACUAUGCCUGAAUAGGGUGAAGCCAGAGGAAACUCUGGUGGAGGCUCGUAGCGAUUCUGACGUGCAAAUCGAUCGUCAAAUUUGGGUAUAGGGGCGAAAG
rnacentral:rRNA from 1 species